GACACGGACGGAUCCGUGGGGCACGCGCCGGGGAGCCGACAUCUAUGUGCCGCUCUGCUCCAGGCCCUGUUGGAGGAGAAAAAAGGCUCCGGUGCUGGUACUUCCUCCGCAGGGCAACUUGGUACAAUUGACACAUGGGCUUGUACACACAUAUGAUCAUCUCCAAGCUCGUACUGCUGCUUCCUGUGCCGACAGCUGUUCCCCACCUACCCCUCCUCCUGUGCAGACAAAAGUGUUAACUGGAGCAGCGUGCAUGGCAUAUUCUAGGAUGAUGCAUGGCUGAUUACUUGGCUACCAUGUCAGCAUCUGACGGUCGGCACUGUCGACUGAGUCACUGAGUAGAAGGCCUGUGCUUGGGCAACAGGAAUACAUCAAGCUGAUUCAGCUCGGACUCUGAGAGCAGAGUUCCUUUGCAGUGCCGGAACCUUAUCCACUGGAGUGGCUGGGAGAUAACUUUGAGCUCCCGUUCAUGCAUCGGAGACGGACGCACGCAUGCACCGGGAGGGAGUCCAAGACGUCUGCAGCUGCAAUUGACAACGGGUUCCUGGCCUACCUAACUUAAGAACACAGAGAAACACAAAAGGGGAGCAGGCGGAUCGCAUCCACCUCGUACACACUGAUCCGUGUAGAUAAUUCAUGGAUCUGCAUGUGGCGUGCCCCCGAUGCCCUCCCUCCUCGAUCGAGGGCCGGCCGAUGAGAUGAUGGGGGGAGGCCGCCGAGACGCCCCCCGGCGUCGACACGUCGGCAGGCUACCGGGUUUCGCGUCUGAGGGAUGCCCUGUGCAAGGACCAACUUACGCUAUCAAAUCCGUCCCAUUUGUCCCGCCAUGUUUGUUUGGCGGCCAACUUGGCUCCCAUCGUCGCUCUGUGCACGCUUCCUCGCCUGCAAUGCUCUGUACUUUCCGGUACACACGCCCUCCUGGAGGAAGGCCAUGCUUGCUUCACUUUUACUCUGUGAUGCCCUGGCACUGGAACGGCUUCUCAUCUAUCAGCCUAUCACCAUACGAAGAGGAUUUGACUGAAUUUUAUAGACACUGAUUACCGGCAAUGAAGAGACCGGGCUCAGCUGGAGUGAGCUUGGGUAUUCUCAAAGCUGCUGCGCAGCACCACCUACAGGUGUAUCUUUUUCUCUUGAGGUAAAAAGCGAGGCACGCUGAAUCACCACCCUGCUGAGCUAUGGGCAGCAAAAGAACAUGCCCUAAACAGCAUUGCACUCGCGCGAGCUUGCCACUCCUGGUGAUUAUUCCUGCCAGGCAGGUGCAUAAACUAAGCUCAAGUGGGCGAGGCCUCGCUCCACUACUUCACAAAGUGGCCCUGUGGCAAAGUGCUCUGAUCGCAACACUUCUUUUGAGGGAAAAGGAGAUCCUCAAAUUGUGAACUCUUCAUUAGGCAAAGGUUGUAGAACGUAACGUUUUUCAGAAUUGGAAAAAAGUAGAAACUGGUGGGAAGAGCUCAUUUGGCGUUCCUGUUGUGGGCGUUGCAGUUUCGCAAAAAAGAAUGUGUCGAUCUAGUCAUAUGCCAGCACACAGAUAUCAGGUGUCGGAGCAAUUCCCGGAGAAGGCAGAAAAAGACUUGUCGAAGCACCAGAUGUUCCGACGCCUUGCAUGUGUGAUGAGGACAUCGCCAUGCUGCACACGCACGAGUCAUGGUCUUCCCCAAGUUACAAUUCGUCACCAACUCGGUCGUCGCGUUCGUUUCGGAUUCAACCGACAUCCCUGCACGGUUUCGGCCAUAUCUCCCUCAUACGACAUCGAAAUGAGACGUUCUUUGAUGCGUUGGAACGGGGACGCCACCACCGUUCUUUUGGUUCUGGUCCUAGCUCCAGAAGGUUCAUGGAUCAUUCUGUGUGACCACGACAAGGUGCUGCGUCACCAGUUUUGGGCCAACUUGGCCUUGUAUCGUGUCGGGCCUUAAGCCCAAGUUGUGGGCACUCCCCUUCCUAGUCGCCCCUAACCCUAGUUCACCCCUUUUGAUAUAAACUCAGUAGCCGCCGCCUUAGAAA